rnacentral:lncRNA from 1 species
AAAUAAUGUCACUCUGCCACCUCAAAAGUAGCCUAACUAAUAGCACGUAAAAUAUAAAGGGAAGAUAGUAAUAAGUCUAAAACAACGGACCAUACCCUAAACAAAUCCAUUUCACGUUUGCUCAGCAUGGUAUGGUAUAUAUUAAAUGCCAAGGCAUCUUACCAGAUGAUGCUGGAUCAAUUGUCUCCAAAAACUCCUUUAGUAAUUGUUGAUAGAAU